CAUAAAAUAAGUUUAUAUGAACAAAAUUAUUAUAUAAAUAAUAUUAUGUAUAUACAUAGUAUACAUUUACUAACAGUAAGAAUAUAUAUGUAUGUUUGUAAGUAAUAUGUAUUGUGAUUUGGUGAACCUAACCUAGUACAAUAUAAAUUUAAAAAACAUUAAAUCGAAAAUAUUUCUGUUUAUCAGCGUUAUGUUUAUACGUAAAUAUAUGUGUGCGUGUAUUAAAUAAAAAAUCACAUUUUGAUAACAAAUUCAAUUUCACCAGAUAAGGAAAACAAGAAGGAAAUAAGUAAUUAAAAAAUAUGAAAUAUGCAUACUUGUUCCAAAAAUUUUAAAAAUUUAAUUUAUUUUAAAAAUGUAAUAUAAAUACUUAAUAUAUAAAAACAUGAUCGUAUAUACAAUAGUGUUUUAAAAAUUUGUGUAUAUGUAUAUAACAUUUGUGAUUAUUCCACCUUAUACGAAUAAUAAAAUCAUACACAUAUACCUAUUAUGUUAAAAUUAUUAAAUUUAUUAUUAAAAAAGGAUUUUAAAAUAUUAUGAAUCAUAAUGGUAAAUAUAUAUUUAUAUAUAUUAUAUUUACAUUAUGUAUAUUUCUUUAAAUAAACUUUAAAAUAUUUAUUAACAAACAAAAAGAAAAAUGCAGUGAAUUCAAAGAUCACAAAUAUAAUUACAUAUAGAUAGAUACGUCCGUACAAUAUACGUACAUAAUUAUUAAUAAUUUUGGAUGAAUAAGUAAAAAAUUAUUACUUAUUAUACCCAGUGCACGCAAAAAUACAAUCUACAUACAUAUGUAUGUAUGUAUGUGCUAUAAUACACAAUAUGUGCAUAAUAUAAGUACAAUAUUCUCACAUAUAACUAGUUAAAUUGUGUACAUAUUUAUUAAGAAUUUAUUGUUAUUCAGAAGCACGUUAAAUUUAAAAAAAAAAAAACAAAAAAAAAAAAUUGUUAAAUUAUAAAAGUAAUAAAUCAAAGUAGUUAAAAAAUAACAAUAAUAAAAACAAAAAAAAUUGUACGUAUCUGUAGAGUAAAAAAAUUAAAUAAUGUUUGAGAAAAAUAAAAAAUAAAAAAGAAAUAUAUAAGUAUAUAUAAAAAGUGUUAUCAAGAUAAUUGUUGACUAUAUUUUAUAUAUUUUGUAUAUAUAUACAUACAAAUGUACCUUAACAUACAUAUGUAAGUAUGUAUAUAGAAACCCUUAAAUAUAUUUUCAAGUGAAUAUUAAGAAUCUCAGUACACAUUAAGUAUAGUUGAAUGUUAUAUAUGAAAAAAAAAAUAUUAAAAAAUUAAAAAAUAAAAAAAUACAACAACAACAAUAAAAAUAAAAUUAAUUUACAUAAAAAAAAAUUAAAAGAAACAGAACAAAAAAAAAAUUAUUUUCGCUAGUCAAAGAAAAGUCUCAUCAAUAAUAUUUUUUUGUUUUUUUUUUUUCAUUUGUGAUGCGGUUAUAAAGGAUAUGCAAAUUAAAAACAGGUAAAGAAGCUAGAAUACUUAAGAAAUAAUUAAUUAAAAUCACAAAAAAUAUAAUGAUGCACAAAUCAGGUAAUGCAAUUUUAUAUUUGAUGAUUAAAUAAAACAGCGUGUUUAUUUGUUUGUUGACUGG